rnacentral:rRNA from 1 species
UACGUAGGGUGCAAGCGUUAAUCGGAAUUACUGGGCGUAAAGCGUGCGCAGGCGGUUGUGCAAGACAGAUGUGAAAUCCCCGGGCUUAACCUGGGAACUGCAUUUGUGACUGCACAGCUGGAGUGCGGCAGAGGGGGAUGGAAUUCCGCGUGUAGCAGUGAAAUGCGUAGAUAUGCGGAGGAACACCGAUGGCGAAGGCAAUCCCCUGGGCCUGCACUGACGCUCAUGCACGAAAGCGUGGGGAGCAAACAGG